rnacentral:rRNA from 1 species
UACGUAGGGUGCGAGCGUUGUCCGGAAUUAUUGGGCGUAAAGAGCUCGUAGGCGGUCUGUCGCGUCGGUCGUGAAAACUUGGGGCUUAACCCUGAGCUUGCGGUCGAUACGGGCAUGACUGGAGUUCGGCAGGGGAGACUGGAAUUCCUGGUGUAGCGGUGAAAUGCGCAGAUAUCAGGAGGAACACCAGUAGCGAAGGCGGCACUCUGGGCCGGUACUGACGCUGAGACGCGAAAGCGUGGGGAGCAAACAGG